rnacentral:rRNA from 1 species
GAUGAACGCUGGCGGUAUGCUUAACACAUGCAAGUCGAACGGACUCUUCGGAGUUAGUGGCGGACGGGUGAGUAACGCGUGAGAAUCUGGCUUUGGGUUCGGGACAACCACUGGAAACGGUGGCUAAUACCGGAUGUGCCGAGAGGUAAAAGAGAAAUUGCCUGAAGAUGAGCUCGCGUCUGAUUAGCUAGUUGGUGAGGUAAAGGCUCACCAAGGCAGCGAUCAGUAGCUGGUCUGAGAGGAUGACCAGCCACACUGGGACUGAGACACGGCCCAGACUCCUACGGGAGGAAGCAGUGGGGAAUUUUCCGCAAUGGGCGAAAGCCUGACGGAGCAAUACCGCGUGGGGGAAGAAGGCUCUUGGGGUGUAAACCUCUUUUCUUAGGGAAGAACAAAAUGACGGUACCUAAGGAAUCAGCAUCGGCUAACUCCGUG